GUUUGUCUCUUAAUUGGGGACUUGUAUGAAUGGCACCACGAAAUUUAACUGUCUCAAUCUUAUGUUUAGAACUUUAUUUCUAAGUGAAAAAUCUUAGAUAACCUAGAUGGACGAGAAGACCCUAUAGAGUUUUAUAAUACGUAUACUUUUUGUAUAAAAUACACAAAAUGUAUACUUUAUUUUGUUGGGGCAACAAAGGAGUAAAAACUCCUUUAAAAAAAUUACUAUUGUAACUAAAUGAUCCUUAAAAAGAAAAAAGAAAAAUUACCUUAGGGAUAACAGCGUAAUCUCCCUAGAGAGGCCUAAUCGAAAGGGAGGAUUGCGACCUCGAUGUUGGACUAAGGCAUCCUUAUGGUGUAGCAGCUAUAAAAGGUAGGCCUGUUCGGCCUUUAAGC
rnacentral:rRNA from 1 species